rnacentral:rRNA from 1 species
UACGUAGGGGGCAAGCGUUGUCCGGAAUCAUUGGGCGUAAGAAGCGUGUAGGCGGCUCGGAAAGUCUGGUGUGAAAUCUUGGGGCUCAACCCCAAGCUGUCACUGGAUACUAUCGAGCUUGAGUCGGAAGAGGAGUGUGGAAUUCCAGGUGUAGCGGUGAAAUGCGUAGAUAUACUGGGAGGAACACCGGUGGCGAAAGGCGGCAUCCUGGACCAA